AUCGCUUUCUCUCUGUCCUGCUCUGCUGUGUGACGCUGGUGGAGGUGAACAUGCCAGCAGCGCUCACACAGGAAAACACCACAGCCAGUUCAUCAGCUGACGGAGGAAAUCACCGAAAUAAAGAUGAGGAACAGCUACUUAAAAAGUUUCUGCCAGUUAUUGGACCUCAGUACUUCCUGGUUGUGGUUGCCUGUAUUUUGUGUGAAGGUAAUAAUAUUUGAAAUUAAACAGAACAUCCAUUUUUAACAUAAUGAAAGAUCCAAAACUACAAAUAAUAUUUGUGAAGUGGAAGGAAACUGAUCUGUGGAUCUGAAAAUGUUUUACAAAAAAUAAUCUGAAAAGUUUGGCAUGUAUCUAUAUUUCGGUCAGGGAGAGUGUUGUGGAGAAGUUUAAAGGUUAUAGUCUGCAACAACAUUGCAAGCUUUGAGCAUUUCUCAGAGCUCUGAUCAUUUCAUCACCUGGAGAGAGGAUGGACCACCUGGACAGGUGAGCUGGUCAGAGUUGAAGCUGGAUGGAGCUGAAUCAAACCUUAAAGAAAACCUGUUAGAGGAUGGAGGAAACUUGAGACUGUGUUGGAGGUUCACUAAACACAAACAUCUAGCCAGAGCUGACAUGAAGAUUAAUGUUCGGAUGUGUUUUCAGAUGGGCUCAAACGCAUCUGAACAUUAAUUUUCAUGUCAGCUCUGGCCAGAUCUUCUGACUGACUGAUGUUCUGCAACUUUGCAGUAAAGAAAUUGAGACAUUUUCAGUCUCUAGAUCUGUAAAGUUGGUUUCGUCAUUCCCACAGUUAUAUGCAACUUCACCUGCAAUUACAGGUUUUGUAUUUACGAAGCUUUUACUCAGUAAGACUGAACACAAAAGCUUGAAAAUCCUUAUUAAAAUUUUAAUAAAAUCCCUUAAAAUUUGUGGUUGUAAUGUGACAAACGGUGUAAAAGUGUAGUAUGUAAAAAUACUUUAGUUUUUAUGCUAUUUUUAUAAAGCUCAAACAGUUUAUGAUUUGUAGCAGAUCCCCAGUAUUAUCAAAGGUUUAUGAACCACAACUGCCUGCAAAAAGCUACAAUCCACAAAUACUUGAAACAGCCUUCUGAAAAUGUUUAUAACUGCCUAGUUUAAUAGUUCCAACACCAAAUAUAACUCAAUAUUAGACUGCACAGUAGAAGUUGAUUUAGUGCUACAGCAGAAGCUAACAUCCACAAUCUACCUCAUCUCCACUUUUGAGGGUACAACCAAUCAAUGCCAGGGAAAAUGCAUGGCACUUCUGGAUUGGCUGCUUUGCAAACAUCAGUCUAGUUUUGUGUCUGUAUUUGAAUUAUUCAUUUUUUGUAAUAUUAUCUUGUCUAAAUCCCUGUUAAAUAUUGUCUUCUCUAUACUUAUUCAAAGCAGGAAAAUAACUAUCAAAUCAUGUUUUGAUUAAAUCAGCAGCUGUUUUGUCUGAAUCCCUGUUGGUGUCAGAAGAUAAGAAAACCUGAAGCCAAGUGAUGCUGAAACCUUCUAGAUUUAAAGCUAGGUGGACAGAUCUACUCAGACUUCCUGAUUAUUCAUUCUUGUAUUUUUGUUGUUGCACCUUUCACAGCACAAAUCUUGGUAUACAAAAUUAUUAAUAUAGGUAAGAAGAGCUAAAAAGCUAAAAAAAAUCUGAACUGCUGUGAAAAAGGGAAAACAAGUGAACACUCCACCUGGUGCCGCUACCUGCUGUCUCUCCUAUUGCACCUCUUUGAGCCCAUCCAGCAUUUCCAACCCAACAAGAACAGACGGUGUGGAGAGCGACUUAUUGGAUUGGGUCCCAUCCAGCAGUGACUUAUAUGCUCAACCUAUAUGUCACAGAUGGAUCUGAACAUCCACACAGACCUGGAGGGGAGAGGAGCCACUGGAUUCUCGUUCUGGCCUUAAGAGCUAAAAAAGAGAUGAUUCUGUUCAAAU